rnacentral:rRNA from 1 species
ACUCCUACGGGAGGCAGCAGUGGGGAAUAUUGCGCAAUGGGCGAAAGCCUGACGCAGCGACGCCGCGUGAGGGAAGAAGGCCUUCGGGUCGUAAACCUCUGUCAGGAGGGAAGAAGUGGAGUAUGGCUAAUAUCCAUGCUCUUUGACGGUACCUCCGGAGGAAGCACCGGCUAACUCCGUGCCAGCAGCCGCGGUAAU